rnacentral:rRNA from 1 species
CUCAGAUUGAACGCUGGCGGCAGGCCUAACACAUGCAAGUCGAACGGUAGCACAGAGAGCUUGCUCUCGGGUGACGAGUGGCGGACGGGUGAGUAAUGUCUGGGAAACUGCCUGAUGGAGGGGGAUAACUACUGGAAACGGUAGCUAAUACCGCAUAACGUCGCAAGACCAAAGAGGGGGACCUUCGGGCCUCUUGCCAUCAGAUGUGCCCAGAUGGGAUUAGCUAGUAGGUGGGGUAACGGCUCACCUAGGCGACGAUCCCUAGCUGGUCUGAGAGGAUGACCAGCCACACUGGAACUGAGACACGGUCCAGACUCCUACGGGAGGCAGCAGUGGGGAAUAUUGCACAAUGGGCGCAAGCCUGAUGCAGCCAUGCCGCGUGUAUGAAGAAGGCCUUCGGGUUGUAAAGUACUUUCAGCGGGGAGGAAGGUGUUGUGGUUAAUAACCACAGCAAUUGACGUUACCCGCAGAAGAAGCACCGGCUAACUCCGUGCCAGCAGCCGCGGUAAUACGGAGGGUGCAAGCGUUAAUCGGAAUUACUGGGCGUAAAGCGCACGCAGGCGGUCUGUCAAGUCGGAUGUGAAAUCCCCGGGCUCAACCUGGGAACUGCAUUCGAAACUGGCAGGCUAGAGUCUUGUAGAGGGGGGUAGAAUUCCAGGUGUAGCGGUGAAAUGCGUAGAGAUCUGGAGGAAUACCGGUGGCGAAGGCGGCCCCCUGGACAAAGACUGACGCUCAGGUGCGAAAGCGUGGGGAGCAAACAGGAUUAGAUACCCUGGUAGUCCACGCCGUAAACGAUGUCGAUUUGGAGGUUGUGCCCUUGAGGCGUGGCUUCCGGAGCUAACGCGUUAAAUCGACCGCCUGGGGAGUACGGCCGCAAGGUUAAAACUCAAAUGAAUUGACGGGGGCCCGCACAAGCGGUGGAGCAUGUGGUUUAAUUCGAUGCAACGCGAAGAACCUUACCUGGUCUUGACAUCCACAGAACUUUCCAGAGAUGGAUUGGUGCCUUCGGGAACUGUGAGACAGGUGCUGCAUGGCUGUCGUCAGCUCGUGUUGUGAAAUGUUGGGUUAAGUCCCGCAACGAGCGCAACCCUUAUCCUUUGUUGCCAGCGGUUAGGCCGGGAACUCAAAGGAGACUGCCAGUGAUAAACUGGAGGAAGGUGGGGAUGACGUCAAGUCAUCAUGGCCCUUACGACCAGGGCUACACACGUGCUACAAUGGCGCAUACAAAGAGAAGCGACCUCGCGAGAGCAAGCGGACCUCAUAAAGUGCGUCGUAGUCCGGAUUGGAGUCUGCAACUCGACUCCAUGAAGUCGGAAUCGCUAGUAAUCGUAGAUCAGAAUGCUACGGUGAAUACGUUCCCGGGCCUUGUACACACCGCCCGUCACACCAUGGGAGUGGGUUGCAAAAGAAGUAGGUAGCUUAACCUUCGGGAGGGCGCUUACCACUUUGUGAUUCAUGACUGGGGUGAGCGA